rnacentral:rRNA from 1 species
UACGUAGGGUGCGAGCGUUAAUCGGAAUUACUGGGCGUAAAGCGUGCGCAGGCGGCGCGUUAAGACAGGUGUGAAAGCCCCGAGCUUAACUUGGGAAUUGCGCUUGUGACUGGCGUGCUGGAGUGUGGCAGAGGGAGAUGGAAUUCCACGUGUAGCAGUGAAAUGCGUAGAGAUGUGGAGGAACACCGAUGGCGAAGGCAGCCUCCUGGGCCAGCACUGACGCUCAUGCACGAAAGCGUGGGGAGCAAACAGG